UCCAAGGUUAUUUUUUCCCAUACUUGUUUGUGUGAUUUUUGAUAACAGUCAAAAUAUGUGAACAAGUAACAGUUGGUUUUGGUACAAGUGAACAAUACAAUCAUUCACUUUGAUUAGUUUUCCACCACCUUUCAUCAGUGUAUCUCAGAGAAUGUAUUUUGCGAAGAGCAGAUGUUCUCUUCAAGAUCUAUCCACAUUUCACAUUUAUUGAAUAAACAAGAUUUAAAGUACUUCUAACAAGAAACUUCUAUUGAUAUGUGGGAUGUACCACACUGAGAAACGAAUUGAAAAAUCCUGCAGAUAAUGGUGGAAGCAGAAUUCGCAUUACUCAUAUUCAUAGAAUUCAAACAUGUACACAAGUUUGUCUUACUGACUAAACCAUUACUAUUACAUUAUUAAACUAUUACUAUUACAUUCUGACUAAAAAACUUCACUGCAAGUAACAGAAAACUUCACUGCAAGUAACCAAAAACUUUACUGCAAGUAAGGGUUAUCAAAUUUCAAAAGCUUCACCUCUGACCAAAAAACCAAGUUGGGAUUUUGAGCUGAAUUUCACUGCAAGUAACAUGAACAAUAAUCAGUGGUAAAUUCAUCAACAGACAUGUUAAAUUCAACAAUAAACCAAAACAGCAGGAUAUCAUUCUCACCAAAACAGAACUACAAUAAUAUUCAAGUUCCAAAUUCAUUAUAAAGUCAAAGUUCAUCAAUAAACCAAAACAGCAAAACAGCAGGAUAUCAUUCUCAGUUGAGUAACUGAGGAACUGGGCACUUGAGGUCAUAAAAAAAAUGCAGGUUCAUAAAAUAAACUGAUUCUAAUGUGUACACUGCCUAGCUAGUUUCUGCUGCACACUGCCUUGCCAUUCAUCAUGUGUACAGAACAAUAGUGCAUUAAAACAGUAGUGCAUUAUUCUCAGUCAAAGGCUUUAAGGCAUAUCAUCAUAGAGGAACUUACAUAUCAUCACAGAGUAAGACAAUACAUACACAAACUGAUAUCAAAAUACCGAACUGUUAUAGGGCAUAUCAUCACAGAGGUGGCGAAUUAGAGGGCAUACACAAAAUUCUUCCAAACUAAUAUCAAAAUACCGAACUGUUAUACUAAAAUUGAAAAAGUUUGACAAUCAAGGGUUGUAACAGGGAGAAAAACUCCAUGUUAUGGUGUUAAUGCGCAAGAAAAAAACCUUUUAACAAUGGGUGUGUUUUUGCAGCCCAGUUAUUAUAAAGGACAGCUACUUACAUUAUUAAGACGCAAGAAAGUGAUAGAAUUUACGCACACUGAUUCGCGCCUCUCCAAUAAUGAUGUCCCCAAUUCAAUCCAGAGGCUCAGGUGCCGUGCAAUGUAUGAGGCUCUUCGAUUCACUGAUGAGAUUGAAAAGCUAGGAAAAAAAAAACAUGGAAUUUGACACUAUCAGGGCUUUUGUUCGCUGAAUCGCGAAUCUAGGGCACAGUAUGGGAAGAAUUCGUAUUUUGAGAGAAGAGAGAGAGAGAGAAUCGCGUUUUGGGCUAGGGCUGGGAUUUGGGAAGAGAAGGUACUCGGUUUUUAUGUGUUUAAAUAGUUAUGUUAC
rnacentral:lncRNA from 1 species